GAUGAACGCUAGCGGCAGGCCUAAUACAUGCAAGCCGAGGGGCAGCACGGACUUCGGUCUGGUGGCGACCGGCGCACGGGUGCGUAACGCGUAUGUAACUUGCCCACUACAGAGGGAUAGCCCGGGGAAACCCGGAUUAAUACCUCAUGGCGCCAUGAAUUCGCAUGGGUUUAUGGUUAAAGAUUUAUCGGUAGUGGAUAGACAUGCGUCUGAUUAGCUAGUUGGUAGUGUGACGGACUACCAAGGCGACGAUCAGUAGGGGUUCUGAGAGGAUGAUCCCCCACACUGGUACUGAGAUACGGCCCAG
rnacentral:rRNA from 1 species